GGGGGAUAAGCUUCAUUGUCGAGAGGGAAACAGCCCAGACCACCGUUUAAGGCCCCUAAAUAUUUGCUAAGUGAUAAAGGAUGUAAUAUUACGUAGACAACCAGGAGGUUUGCCUAGAAGCAGCCAUCUUCCUUUAAAAAGUGCGUAAUAGCUUACUGGUCAAGUGAUAUUGCGCCGAAAAUGAACGGGACUAAGCAUUUUGCCGAAGACGUGGGAGAAAUCAGUAGAAGAGCGUUCUGUCUGGUUAGAAGUAAUAGCGAAAGCAGUUAUGGACUUGGCAGAAGUGAGAAUGUCGGCUUAAGUAACGAAAACAUUGGUGGAAAUCCAAUGCCCCGUAAACCUAAGGGUUCCUUAGCUAGGUUCGUCCACUAAGGGUUAGUCAGAUCCUAAGAUGAGGCUUAAAAGCGUAGUCGAUGGUUAACAGGUUAAUAUUCCUGUACUACUUUUAUUUUUUUACGGGUAACGAAAAAGGCUAGGUCAUCCAAGAGUUGGUUUUUGGUUUAAUUUUUCAAGGUAUAGGGAAUGAAUAAAAACAUUUUCUGCUGAGGAUUAAAAAAUACAGUAUUACGGUACUGGAAAUGGCUGAUGUCAUGUUUCCUAGAAAAACCCUAAUAAAGUUAAGAUAAAAGUAUCUGUACCGUAAACUGACACAGGUGGGUUGGUUGAGAAUACUAAGGGGCGCGAGAUAACUCUUUCUAAGGAACUCGGCAAAAUGGCUCCGUAACUUCGGGAGAAGGAGUACCUCAUAUUGAGGUCGCAGUGAUCAGGUCCAAGCGACUGUUUACCAAAAACACAGGUCUCCGCUAAGUCGAAAGACGAUGUAUGGGGGCUGACGCCUGCCCAGUGCCGGAAGGUUAAAGAAAUUGGUUAGCGUAAGCGAAGCUAGUGACUGAAGCCCUGGUGAACGGCGGUCGUAACUAUAACGAUCCUAAGGUAGCAAAAUUCCUUGUCGGGUAAGUUCCGACCCGCACGAAAGGCGUAACGAUUUGGACACUGUCUCUGAAAGAGACUCGGUGAAAUAGAAUUGACUGUGAAGAUGCGGUCUACCUGCACUUGGACAGAAAGACCCUAUGAAGCUUUACUGUAACCUGAAAUUGAUUUCGGACUUUUCUUGCGCAGAAUAGGUGGGAGGCCUUGAACCCUUCUUUCGGGAAUGGGUGAGCCGAUCCUUGAGAUACCACUCUGGAAAAGUUAGAAGUCUAAUAGUAUUUUUAUCAAGAUACUUGACAGUUUCAGGCGGGCAGUUUUACUGGGGCGGUAGCCUCCUAAAAGGUAACGGAGGCGCACAAAGGUUCUCUCAGUCUGGACGGAAAUUAGAUGUAGAGUGUAAAGACAUAAGAGAGCUUGACUGCGAGACCUAUAAGUCGAGCAGAGACUAAAGUCGGUCUUAGUGACCCGACGGUGCUGAGUGGAAAGGCCGUCGUUCAACAGAUAAAAGUUACUCUAGGGAUAACAGGCUGAUCUCCCCCAAGAGUUCACAUCGACGGGGAGGUUUGGCACCUCGAUGUCGGCUCAUCGCAACCUGGGGCGGUAGUACGUCCCAAGGGUUGGGCUGUUCGCCCAUUAAAGCGGUACGUGAGCUGGGUUCAGAACGUCGAGAGACAGUUCGGUCCAUAUCCGGUGCAGGCGUUAGAGUAUUGAAAGGACCUUUCCUUAGUACGAGAGGACCGGGAAAGACACAUCACUGGUGUACCAGUUUUUAUGCCAAUAGAAUAUGCUGGGUAGCUAAAUGUGGAGUGGAUAACUGCUGAAA
rnacentral:rRNA from 1 species